GGACACCACUCUGUAGGAAGGGCAUCAAGGUGAGGGACACCACUCUGUAGGAAGGGUAUCAAGGUGAGGGACACCACUCUGUGUGAAGGGACACCACUCUGUAGGAAGGGCAUCAAGGUGAGGGACACCACUCUGUAGGAAGGGCAUCAAGGUGAGGGACACCACUCUGUGGGAAGGGCAUCAAGGUGAGGGACACCACUCUGUGGGAAGGGCAUCAAGGUGAGGGACACCACUCUGUAGGAAGGGUAUCAAGGUGAGGGACACCACUCUGUGGGAAGGGACACCACUCUGUGGGAAGGGCAUCAGGGUGAGGGACACCACUCUGUAGGAAGGGCAUCAAGGUGAG